rnacentral:rRNA from 1 species
UACGUAGGGGGCAAGCGUUGUCCGGAAUCAUUGGGCGUAAAGAGCGUGUAGGCGGCCCGGUAAGUCUGUUGUGAAAGUCCAGGGCUCAACCCUGGAAUGCCGGUGGAUACUGUGGGGCUAGAGUCCGGAAGAGGCGAGUGGAAUUCCUGGUGUAGCGGUGAAAUGCGCAGAUAUCAGGAGGAACACCGGUGGCGAAGGCGGUUCUCUGGGCCUUACCUGACGCUGAGGAGCGAAAGCGUGGGGAGCGAACAGG